rnacentral:tRNA from 1 species
CAUUUUUUAGCACAGUGGGUAAGGAACUGGGCUUGUAACCGAAAGGUCGCAGGUUCGAUUCCCAGGUAGGA